rnacentral:rRNA from 1 species
GGGGAAUAUUGCACAAUGGGCGAAAGCCUGAUGCAGCAACGCCGCGUGAGUGAUGAAGGCCUUCGGGUUGUAAAGCUCUGUCUUUUGGGACGAUAAUGACGGUACCAAAGGAGGAAGCCACGGCUAACUACGUGCCAGCAGCCGCGGUAAUACGUAGGUGGCAAGCGUUGUCCGGAUUUACUGGGCGUAAAGGAUGCGUAGGCGGAUUUUUAAGUGAGAUGUGAAAUACCCGGGCUUAACUUGGGUGCUGCAUUUCAAACUGGGAAUCUAGAGUGCGGGAGAGGAGAAUGGAAUUCCUAGUGUAGCGGUGAAAUGCGUAGAGAUUAGGAAGAACACCAGUGGCGAAGGCGAUUCUCUGGACCGUAACUGACGCUGAGGCAUGAAAGCGUGGGUAGCAAAC